rnacentral:rRNA from 1 species
GACGAACGCUGGCGGCGUGCCUAACACAUGCAAGUCGAACGGAGAAUCAGAUGAAGCUUGCGAUUCUGAUUCUUAGCGGCGGAUGGGUGAGUAACGCGUGGGCAACCUGCCUCGAAGACCGGGAUAACAGACCGAAAGGGCUGCUAAUACCGGAUGUGGUCAAGGAUCCGCAUGGAUUUUUGAUUAAAGGGGAAACCCGUUUCGAGAUGGGCCCGCGUCCUAUCAGCUAGUUGGUGAGGUAAAAGCUCACCAAGGCGACGACGGGUAGCCGGCCUGAGAGGGUGACCGGCCACACUGGAACUGAGACACGGUCCAGACUCCUACGGGGGCAGCAGUGGGGAAUCUUCCACAAUGGGCGAAAGCCUGAUGGAGCGACGCCGCGUGAGCGAAGAAGGCCUUCGGGUUGUAAAGCUCUGUCUGGAGGGACGAAGGAAGUGACGGUACCUCCGGAGGAAGCCACGGCUAACUACGUG